CGACUUUUGGGUUUCAUGCGCCUUCAAGAUUAGAAGGUAUCCCCCAAUCUCGACCGGAUUUACCCGAAACCUCACAUUUGAUGAAGAUACUGAGAAAUGUGGGGGCAGAGCGGCCUAAUUGGCCCCACGAGGACGAGCCAUUCAUGGGCGUGCACCAAAUGAGGCCAACAUCGCCAUCUCAUAUGGCGUAACCUGCGAAUGAAUUGCAGCUGUACCUAUCAAAAUUUUAUCUUAUAUGGUUCCUUCAUUUGGCAAAGAGGAGCCGGUUGACCAUCUCUUCGUGUCUUGCCACUUCGCCUCAAGGUGUUUGGGACCGGGUUGCAAGCUGAUGUCGUCUAACUGGGUUGUAUAUGUUUGAAAGCAAAGAUUUGGUCGGAUAUCAUUGCCGUGCGGGUGGGUCGACGGAAUGAAAAAAAUGGUGUACAGUAUAAUGCAGACUAGAAUGUGGAGUAUAUGACGUUGAAACAACUUAGCAUUCAACCAGAAGAAUCUGAAUAUGGGGAGUGCUGUAGAGGAGCUAAAAAGGUUGGGGUACCUUUGGAUAAAAAAAAGAUCAAAGGCACAGGCUUUGUCUUGGAAAAAAAGGAGCAUGUUUCAUUGAAAUUGUUGUGACUUUGGUUAUUUGUUCACACUGUUUGUAUCUGGAGUGAGGGAUAAUAUGUUGUCCCAAAUUUUAUUCCAUUAAAUUUGAAGUCAUUUGCGUA